CUGGCAGCCCAGGCACAGCUGCCUGCACCCACUGCCACAGGCACUAUGGCGGGGACGCGGGUGGCUUCCGAGCCUCGGGGCAGCAGCCUGUGGAGGAGGAACUGAGCAAGAGUCAGGACAGGACGGCAGCAGCUGGAACAUGCCAACAGGGACCAGAAUGGGACAGGCCUGGGGCGCAGGAGGCCUGGCUGCCACCGUGCACACGGACAGAGGAGGGGCUCACCGACAACGAUGUGCAGCGCCGAGGUUUCUGCGUCGCUGGCGCCCACGGUGGAGUAACACACGCAGUCCGUUGACCCUGUAAAGGGGAAAAGAAGGCCCUGAAUAUCAUCAGAAUGACUGAAUUGUAAUCGCCUCCCAAUUCACUGAGUGGUACCUCAUUCCUUUCCUUCCAUGGCCCUAGAGUCAACACUAAGGAAUAAAUAGAAUUUACCUACAAAAUGAA